rnacentral:rRNA from 1 species
CCUACGGGAGGCUGCAGUGAGGAAUAUUGGUCAAUGGGCGCGAGCCUGAACCAGCCAAGUCGCGUGAGGGAAGACGGUCCUAUGGAUUGUAAACCUCUUUUGUCGGGGAGCAAAAGACGCCACGCGUGGCGUUCCGAGAGUACCCGAAGAAAAAGCAUCGGCUAACACCGUGCCAGCAGCCGCGGUAAUACGGGGGAUGCGAGCGUUAUCCGGAUUUAGUGGGUUUAAAGGGUGCGCAGGCGGAAGAUCAAGUCAGCGGUAAAAUUGAGAGGCUCAACCUCUUCGAGCCGUUGAAACUGGUUUUCUUGAGUGAGCGAGAAGUAUGCGGAAUGCGUGGUGUAGCGGUGAAAUGCAUAGAUAUCACGCAGAACUCCGAUUGCGAAGGCAGCAUACCGGCGCUCAACUGACGCUCAUGCACGAAAGUGUGGGUAUCGAACAGGAUUAGAUACCCUUGUAGUG